GAUGAACGCUGGCGGAGUGCCUAAUACAUGCAAGUCGAGCGGUAGCGCGAGUAGUUUACUACUUGGCGGCGAGCGGCGGACGGCUGAGUAACGCGUGGGAACGUGCCCCAAAGUGAGGGAUAACCACCCGAAAGGGUGGCUAAUACCGCAUAUGAUCUUCGGAUUAAAGGAUUUAUCCGCUUUGGGAGCGGCCCGCGUACGAUUAGAUUGUUGGUGAGGUAAUGGCUCACCAAGGCGACGAUCGUUAGCUGGUCUGAGAGGAUGAUCAGCCAGACUGGGACUGAGACACGGCCCAGACUCCUACGGGAGGCAGCAGUAAGGAAUCUUCCACAAUGGGGGCAACCCUGAUGGAGCAACUCCGCGUGCAGGACGAAGGCCUUCGGGUCGUAAACUGCUUUUAUGAGUGAAGAAUAUGACGGUAACUCAUGAAUAAGGAUCGGCUAACUACGUGCCAGCAGCCGCCGUAA
rnacentral:rRNA from 1 species